CGCUGAGGAUGUGUUGGAGUCACUUCACCUGGAACCAAAAAAUCUCAUCACGAAUUAUCUGGGACAAGUAGACAAGGCACCAAAUGAGAAGAUCUUUGAAGUUGAUGACGAUCUCGUUCACAAAACCCCUCCACAUUCUUCACAGGAAAACGAGAAAUUGCCACCAAAGUGGCCCCGGUCGUGGAAGAGAGAGGACAUGGUUCUUCGAAAACACUUAUUCU